CUGCACAUCAGCUUGAUCCAAGUUCUCUUGCUUCUCGAUUGGAAUGCCUAAGCGGUGGUUGGUGUUUUUGACAUGGUCCACUGGAUCAGUUUAAAUUUCCGCUUCACAGUUCUGUUUUGGAGGUAUAAUUCUCAGUUAAUAAGAACUUCUGUCUGUCAUGUAUCAAGCUAAGCAUUCAAUUAUGGUUCAUCAGGAUUUUCGAUACCAUGACUGGGUGCCAGGAAGGACUUAACCAUCAGUCAAGAAGCAGUUACAAAAAAUAUCUAAAGGGGAUUCCUUCUUUAGUUUGUUCGUGCACAAUGUUAUCAUCAUAUUGAAGCAAACUUUCCCACAGGAUAUCGUAUGCAACAUGGUAUUGGUUUGCUAUCUGGUUGGGUUGGCCUCCUUUUGAAAUGGUGCGUACUGCAUAAGAAAAUCCCGAGUUACAGAAGCAAAUUGCCAAUUGAGCUAGUGCUGUCAUUUAGAAGACAUAUGACGGCCUAUAGUAAAGUUUCAUGCUGCAAGAACAAUAUAAUGCUGCAUGGGGAAUGCAUCUAGCUACGAGUUCACAUUUGUGGGAGUGGAGUGUCCUCCCAAAAGACAAAAAAAAUAAGGUAAUAAUUGUGGUCUUGA